rnacentral:ncRNA from 1 species
CAGGUUUGGCAUCCGAGUGUUGGCCCCUCCGGGCCAUAAAAGGGAAGUCCGGUGAGAUUCCGGUACGGACCCGCCGCUGUAAUCGGGGACGAACGCCGCACGAGGCCACUGUCCUUUUUCAAUUGGACGGGAAGGCGCGGCUUGUAGGACGAUCCGAGAGUCAGAAGACCUAACAUUCGGUGUGCACCUGGG